rnacentral:antisense_RNA from 1 species
GUGGGAGCGAGCUUGCUCGCGAAUGCAGUGUGUCAUUUAACAAUGAUGUGAAUGACACAUUGCAUUCGCGAGCAAGCUCGCUCCCAC